UACUUUAUAUAUGUGUCUAAACAUUCGAUGUAACAGAGUGUAAAAUUUUGCCAGGUGAUCUAAACAAGCCCCUAGGGGUGUAGAGUUUUGGCGUGUCACAUCGGAUAUACGGACACAUAUUUGAAGUAUU
rnacentral:misc_RNA from 1 species